rnacentral:rRNA from 1 species
CUCCUACGGGAGGCUGCAGUGGGGAAUUUUGGACAAUGGGCGAAAGCCUGAUCCAGCCAUGCCGCGUGCAGGAUGAAGGCCUUCGGGUUGUAAACUGCUUUUGUACGGAACGAAACGGCCUUUUCUAAUAAAGAGGGCUAAUGACGGUACCGUAAGAAUAAGCACCGGCUAACUACGUGCCAGCAGCCGCGGUAAUACGUAGGGUGCAAGCGUUAAUCGGAAUUACUGGGCGUAAAGCGUGCGCAGGCGGUUAUGUAAGACAGUUGUGAAAUCCCCGGGCUCAACCUGGGAACUGCAUCUGUGACUGCAUAGCUAGAGUACGGUGGAGGGGGAUGGAAUUCCGCGUGUAGCAGUGAAAUGCGUAGAUAUGCGGAGGAACACCGAUGGCGAAGGCAAUCCCCUGGACCUGUACUGACGCUCAUGCACGAAAGCGUGGGGAGCAAACAGGAUUAGAUACCCUGGUAGUCCACGCCCUAAACGAUGUCAACUGGUUGUUGGGUCUUCACUGACUCAGUAACGAAGCUAACGCGUGAAGUGACC